GUUUUCUCCCUUCUCUCUCCUCAAGUAGCUCUCAAGUCUUCGCUGUUUUUUGGUCGGAGAUUAACGUUUGGUGGCUCCUAUAGCACCAACGUUGAUCUUCUUUCAGUUUAUGUUUGUUUCUUUACUUAUCCUCGCAGUUGCAGUUUACCGUUUUGGUAUUUUGUCGUCCGAUUUUAAGAUCUCGAUUAGUUGGGUUGUCUUAUGACAACCAAUGACUUUAUUGUGGUGUUAGAUCGGCUUUCGUCCAAUAUCGUUCGGCUCACAUAGUGACGAUGAUUGGUUUGCUUUUGACGCUUCCUUGCCACUUUGCUUUCGGUUUCUUUUAUCCGAUAUAGUUGUUGUUUUUUAUGAAUAAUCUUCAUGGUUAACAAGCUUUUGGUUUUCGAGAUUCAGAUUGGGAGAGUUUCUAAUGCAAAAUCUAUAUGAUUGACGAUGUAGGCUUGUUAAAGUUGUCUCUGUUAUCGUCUCUCUUCGUUCUCUCCGGAAAAUCUAUUUCUUUUGCCAACAUGGUUGCUUUGCCGUGUGGGUGUUGUUGAAAGUUCAGUUGGUUUACUCUCUAUGUUGAUGUCCUUCAGAUUUUGAGAAACAAUUGCCUGGGGAAGAUUGCAGAUUUGAUGCUGAAGAUUAUGGGUUUCUCUAAUUAAAAACCGAUGGACUUCUGUGCUUGAAGCUCUAGCGGUUUCCGGUGGUUUUGGAGGUGCCUUUCGUUGCUUAUCAAAUCGACGAUGAACGGCGAUGACUUAUGCGUCAUCUGUCCUCGGGUCUCAACUUUGUCGACGACUAUUACUUCCUUACAGGAAUUAGUUUUCUCUGGUGGGCUUUCAUUAAUUUGGGCAUGUGUUUAAAAGCUUAAUGUUGUGAAGAUGGAUGUCAAAAU
rnacentral:lncRNA from 1 species